rnacentral:misc_RNA from 1 species
AUUCAUACACCGUGCUAAUUCAAAUUAAAGCACAGUCAUUUUAUGCACGGCUGCAGGGUCCGUCUUUCUUGACGUCACACUCAAAUCAUUGAAUUCUAAAUCCAGUUACUAGUUACUUGACAGACCAGUUGAAACGCACAAAGCAGUGAUUGGACAGUUUCUACAGUUGCAAUACAUUAGCCAAUUGAAACACCAGAACGGCAAACCAGUUCCGUUAUUAUUCGCGCAUGCCCACAUAGCUUAAAAUAACCAACAUGGCUGACAAGCGAGGGGAUUCAGGAAGUGAUUCUGAUAGCACUGAAGAACCGGUUGUUGGAAAUGUCAACAAAUUUGCAGUUGUCCCACCAGGCUACAGUGGAAAACCAAAGAAAGGACAUCUCAUAUUUGAUGCAUGUUUUGAAAGUGGAAAUCUAGGGCGGGUAGAUUACAUCACAGAGCAUGAGUAUGACUUGUUUAUACGACCGGACACCUGCAACCCACGGUUCCGAGUUUGGUUCAAUUUUACCGUGGAGAAUGUGCGGUCGGACCAGCGUGUUAUCUUCAACAUUGUCAACUUUAGUAAGACCAAGUCCCUGUAUCGGGAUGGAAUGUCACCUCUUGUCAAAUCAACAAGCAGGCCAAAGUGGGUGAGAAUCCCGGCCAAACAUGUAUAUUAUUAUCGCUGCCCAGACCAUCGAAAGAAUUAUGUCAUGUCCUUCGCUUUCAACUUUGACCGAGAGGAUGAUGUCUACCAGUUUGGCUACUGUUACCCAUAUUCCUACACCCGAUUACAGAGCUACCUCGAUAACCUAGAGAAGAGAAACUUGGACUUCUUUAGCAGGGAACUACUUUGUCUGACCGUGCAACAACGCCGACUUGACGUGCUGACCAUCACCCACCCUGACAACCUGGAGCAUGAAGGGGAGGAGAAACAGAAGACUGUGUUCAUCACCGCCCGCGUCCAUCCCGGGGAGACUCCCUCAUCCUUUGUAUGUCAAGGUGUGAUAGACUUUCUGGUCAGCAACCAUCCAAUUGCCAAGAUCUUGCGGGAACACAUUGUGUUCAAGAUUGUGCCAAUGCUGAACCCUGAUGGGGUAUUCCUUGGGAACUAUAGGUGCUCUUUGAUGGGGUUUGAUCUGAACCGCCACUGGCUGGAACCUUCUCCAUGGGCCCACCCCACCCUGUACGCCACCAAGAACCUGCUGAUGGAGCUUGACAGAAGUGAUAAAUAUGAGGUGGACUUUUACAUAGACCUGCAUGCACAUUCCACCCUGAUGAACGGCUUCAUGUACGGCAACAUCUACGAGGACAUGGAGAGAUAUGAACGUCAGUCGGUGUUCCCCAAGCUGCUGUGUGCCAAUGCAGAGGACUUCUCCCUCGCCAACACAAACUUCAACAGGGAUGCCGUGAAGGCAGGCACCGGCCGAAGGACCCUGGGGGGCUGUAUGGACGAGAACGCCCACUGCUACACCCUGGAGGUGUCCUUCUUCAGCUACCAGACCAGCACCACCGGCCAGGCCAUGCCCUACACAGAGGAGGGCUACAUGAAGCUGGGCCGGAACCUGGCGCGGACAUUCCUGGACUACUACAAGCUCAUCGGCUACAUCAGCGCCAAGCCUAGCAGCAGCAUUGUCCCCAAGCCUGGGAUGUACCGACACCGGGAGCGCCAGAACAAUGACAGAGCAGUGUCAGAACCCAAUGGGAGGAACCCCCUAGAUGACACCAGGUACUACAGCCAAAGAUACGGAGAUAAAUCUAGUCGAGAAGAGAAGAGCUCCCGGCGAGGUGCCGACUACACCAUCAACAGCAGCAGCAGCGCCUUCUCCGACACGCCGACAUCCAUCAGACUACAACUAAAGGAGAGAGAUCGCAGAUUCUAAUCUGUGUAUGGAAUAUGACAGUAAUACAUGAUUAAUCAAAAUCCCUGACCUAGAUCCUCCAUGGUAGCUUCCAGUGUUCCUCCCGUCAUUCACUUGUGGGAUGUGAUACUGUAGCCAUAGAUUACCCAUACCCAUCAUGUUGUAAUCCAUUCCGGGUGUCACCACAGUGAAGUGACAUAGGUGACGUGGGUGAAAGCAACAUUUGAGUGACGGCAAUGUACGAGUGUCCAUUGCAAGUAGGGGAAUGGCAGUGUUAUUAAUGGCUGAUGGCCUUCUGUCUACAACCCUGAUGACAUGGACUUACGUAACAUAAUACCUGCCUCUGAUCUCUCGUUGAAGAUGCGUGCUGUAUAGAUGUAUGGGAGUGAUAUUGUAUCAGAAUAUGCAUGGGCCUGACAUCCAGCAGUGACUUUGAGCCCAGAAAUACAGGACAUGGUCAGAGUUCUUCAUAUCAAAUAGGUUUUUGAAGCUAGAGGAUACUAGGUAAUGAAUAGCAAGUAGUCACUGACGAAAGGGAUUUCCAACGGAGAACUGUUAGACUUCACAUUCCGAUUGAACAUCCUUUCAUGUUUCAAAUUAGCAUCAAUCUUGAAAUCUUUCACGAAAUUGUUAAGGAAGAUAGCUGUCCUGAGUGGCAGACUGAAAUAGGUUUCAGUGUGACAGAGUUAGCGUGAUCUUCAGUGAACAGAUUAAGAGGCCAUUUAUUCAGUGUCCAAAGUGAUGUCACCAAGGCGUUGACCAUCAGCUUCAGGACAAUUAAAGACCAAUGUUACCAAGGCUGUUGACCUUCACCUUCAGAACAAUUGAAGAUCAAUGUCACCAAGGCGUUGACCUUCACCUUCAGAACAAUUGAAGAUCAAUGUCACCAAGGCUGUUGACCAUCAGCUUCAGGACAAUUGAAGACCAAUGUUACCAGGACUGUUCAUCUUCAUCUCAACAUUUAUAUAGACAGAAAGGCCUAAGACGAAAAUUUAAAAGUUCAAAAGUUCAAAGUGAUUUCAGUUUUGAAGUAAACCAAGUUAUGAUCAUGAAUAUCAAAGAUACUUACUGUAUGUAUUUUUGUAUACAUAUUCAUCAAAAUCUAAGCCUAUGAAACAUUUCAUCAUGCCUCACAUCCCACUGAAUGAAGUUUGGAAAAUAAGUCAAUAUAGAUAUUUACUUCCUUAGUCCCUGCCAGAACACUAACAAAAUAUUAUUUUUUAGCAAAAGAGUAUUUUUAACCUGUGACUCAUUCUAGAUAUUAUUUUUCUAUUAUAUUCUUAGAACCAGAAGUUUUUUGCCAUUCUGAUCUUUUGGCAAUGAAAAUGAUUACAAAUCUGUUUUGACGGGAAUUCUGCGGCCUGUUACAUGGACUGCCGACACGGUACAAGCACUUGGGGCAUCCCGUCCUCCGUGAAAUAGUCUGUUGUCCCCCACAACGCCAGGGAUUGCAGGACUCUCUCAAAUGGUAGUCCAGAGUAGCCGCCUAUGUCACGGAACACUUGUCGCCAUGUGCAGGGGAGGAGAUGGCAAUAUAUUCUCAUAAACUUAAAAUAUCUGACAAUAUUUCAUGCAUAUUAAUUUAUGGAUUCAUAUUUAUCAUUGUCAAUCAAUACUACAGUACAGUAUAAUAACACAACAAAUAUUUGUUAUGUUAAAUAUAUUUUAGUUUUGAUUGACAUUGAUAAACAUGAAUUUAAUUAUGGUGGUUAAAUAAUAGAUAAAUGGUUAAAUAAUAUGUAAAAUAUUUAAAAAUAUUUGAAGCUUAUAUCAUAUUUUACCAUGAUAUAGAGGUAGCCAGUAUGCCUGUAUCUCUAUGCUUGUCAUUGUGAUAGUCCAGCAAGUGUUGUGUUGUUAAACUAGUAUUGAUCAAAGGGGAACAAAAUGUUAUUCUUGUAUAUUCCUCUAAGGAUGUGCCAACAAAAUGUUUUAUUUUAUUGUUUACACUUGGUUUCCUCACCAUCAAGACUGUCCGUCCACUUUUAGAAAGCUUAUAUUAUUUUACUACUUUUUUGUUUUCAUAAUAUUGCAUUAUGUUUUUAAUAUGUACAUAAUAUGACUAGACUGCAUAAUCUUGCACAAUUUUUGUGUGUUCAAGUUGCAUAUUCACACUCAAAUCGAAUAGCAGCCUUUGAGAUCUUCUUUUACAACUAAUAGUCCCACUGGUACAUUAUUGUAUUGCAUAGCUCAGGUGAAUAAUGAGAAUAUGAAGAUAGGGGGAAUAGAAAGUAAGAUGUCUGUAUUAUUCUUGAUGUCCUUCUCACCGAGGUACAACGGGUGACAGAUCAGUGACUCAUCUGUCUUUGUUGUGAGGAAUGCUGAAUAAUGAAACAUCUUGGGGGUCAUUUUUUGGAUAUGAAAGUAUUAUCGAGAUAUUUCUUUUUCUAAACAGGCAGCUGGACAAGACAUGUUCCAAGAGGUGAAACACAUUGUCUGUUGAGGAUGCUGAUGUAGUCUUUUUCGGGCACAAUCCAAUUAUUUAUGGUUUCAUUGGCUGAUCAGGCGAGAUGUCUGUGUGUGGAAAUUACAUUACAGGCAAAGCUUAUUGAAUAAGCAACAAAUCGUGAGUUUUUGACACUAACAGGAAAACAUAUUUGGAGGAGGACCUGUUUGACCUGCAGGGCUGUUCCUACUUGAUCGUGUGUAAUGUAAGGCAGGCAAAGAUAAUCAAGAGGCAUCGUAACUUUUGUUUCCACAAUUUCUUGAAGUAUUUACCUCCCCAAUUGCUGCUAUUUUCUCAGCGCACUACUGGGUUAUGGAAUUAUGUUUUUUGCACCAAACUUGAAGUUUAUGAGUCUGAUGUCGGGAAAUGGUUUUUCGUACAAUUUAUAGACCUAGGCUUAGAGCAGGUGAUACCGGGCACUGCACAGAUACGCUAUGUUCAUAUGUGAAGAUUCUCUCUGUGUCUUUAAGUUUCUGGGGGCGGGUAUGUUUAUACUUGGGGAAAGGUCAUUUAAAUCUUGCAUGAGAGGAGAUUUUGCUAUUUAGACAAUUCUUUCUGUGUCUUUAAGUUUCUGGGGGCAGGUAUGUUUAUACUUGGGGAAAGGUCAUUUAAAUCUUGCAUGAGAGGAGAUUUUGCUAUUUAGACAAUUCUUUCUGUGUCUCUAAGUUUCUGGGGGUGGGUAUGUUUAUACUUGAGGAAAGGUCAUUUAAAUCUUGCAUGAGAGGAGAUUUUGCUAUUUAGACAAUUCUUUCUGUGUCUCCAAGUUUCUGGGGGUGGGUAUGUUUAUACUUGAGGAAAGGUCAUUUAAAUCUUGCAUGAGAGAUUUUACUAUUUAGACAAUUUGGCUCUGGGGUUGCAUCGUUUUUCUGUUUUAAAAGUACAUGUGAUUUGGUUUCUGUUUUGUUAGUUUGUGUUUGUGGUCAUAAAUUGAAAGAUUUGCCAUUACCAUUACCAUUGUUAAGCACAUCUCUGUCAUUCCACAUAUUACAGUACACAAUAUAUCUCAGUCCAUGUUAUAACUGUUGACAAAAAAUGUGAUAUCUUGUGAUUUGAUGUGUUUAAAACAUAGUGUAUGUAUUGUUUUCAAAGCUGACCUCAGUAUCAUUGAAAUAGAAGAAUACAUGAACUUUUAA